rnacentral:rRNA from 1 species
AUGGUCAAUACCUAACGGCUGAACCAGCAACUUGGAGGAAUGUAUAGCUAACGCUAAAUGUAUUUUGUAAAAAUACAGAGGCGAUUUAUUCGUAUAAAAUUCUAGGUAGAAUUAUGAUAAUGACAUUAUCUAUCUAUAAGUCUUGUCCAACAUGCGUGCCAGCAGUCGCGGAAAGACGCUAAAGACUAGUGUUAUUCAUCUUUAAUAGGUUUAAAGGGUACCUAGACGGUAAAUCAAGCCUUAAUCGGGACUAAUUUAACUAGAGUUAGAUGUAAGGGUGCAUUAACGUACUGUUGAGUGUAAAGAUGAAAUUUUAUUAUACCAGAUGAUUGGCACGGGUUUAGGCGAAAGCAUCACCUUAUGUAAUAACUGACGUUGAGGGACGAAGGCUUUGUAUAGCUAAAAGGAUUAGAUACCCUCGUAGUCUAAGCAGAAAAUGAUGAGUGUCAUAGGUUAAAUAUUAUUUAACCUAUAAAUGAAAGUGUAAGCAUUCCACCUCAAGAGUAAUUUGGCAACAUUGGAAUUGAAAUCAUUAGACCGUUUCUGAAACCAGUAGUGAAGUAUGUUGUUUAAUUAGAUGAUACACAAAAAACCUUACCACAAUUUGAAUAUUUUACAAGCGUUGCACGGCUGUCUUCAGUUAAUGUCGUGAGAUUAUGGUUAGUUCCAUUAAUUAACGUAAACCCUUACUUUAUUUUAUUUUAUAUAAAGUAGUUCGCCGCUAUAUUGGUGAGAUAAAAGGGAGUAAGACAAGUCAUCAUGGCCUUAAUAGUAUUGUGGGCUA